rnacentral:rRNA from 1 species
AGCGAACGCUGGCGGCAGGCCUAACACAUGCAAGUCGAACGAACUCUUCGGAGUUAGUGGCGGACGGGUGAGUAACACGUGGGAACGUGCCUUUUGGUUCGGAAUAACUCAGGGAAACUUGUGCUAAUACCGAAUGUGCCCUUCGGGGGAAAGAUUUAUCGCCAUUAGAGCGGCCCGCGUCUGAUUAGCUAGUUGGUGAGGUAACGGCUCACCAAGGCGACGAUCAGUAGCUGGUCUGAGAGGAUGACCAGCCACACUGGGACUGAGACACGGCCCAGACUCCUACGGGAGGCAGCAGUGGGGAAUCUUGCGCAAUGGGCGAAAGCCUGAAGCAGCCAUGCCGCGUGAAUGAUGAAGGUCUUAGGAUUGUAAAAUUCUUUCACCGGGGACGAUAAUGACGGUACCCGGAGAAGAAGCCCCGGCUAACUUCGUG